UAUCCACGCAGAGAACAUGGUUCAAACAAACAUUUUAACGGUUGUAACCAAUAUGCAAUUUCGUCAUAACCAUCGUGUUGAAAAUUGGUCA